GAGUUUGAUCAUGGCUCAGGACGAACGCUGGCGGCGUGCUUAACACAUGCAAGUGGAGCGACGAACCAGGGCUUGCCCUGGGGCAGAGCCGCGAACGGGUGAGUAACACGUGGGUAACCUACCCCGAUGACCGGGACAACCCGAGGAAACUCGGGCUAAUACUGGAUGAACUCUUCUCACAUGAGUGAGAUUUGAAAAGGAAGCUUCGGCCUCCGCAUUGGGAUGGGCCCGCGGCCCAUUAGCUUGUUGGUGGGGUAACGGCCUACCAAGGCUUCGAUGGGUAGCUGGUCUGAGAGGACGAUCAGCCACACUGGGACUGAGACACGGCCCAGACUCCUACGGGAGGCAGCAGUGGGGAACCUUGCGCAAUGCGCGAAAGCGUGACGCAGCAACGCCGCAUGCGGG
rnacentral:rRNA from 1 species